rnacentral:rRNA from 1 species
AUUGCAGGCUGCAACCCGCCUGCAUGAAGUUGGAAUCGCUAGUAAUCGCGGAUCAGCAUGCCGCGGUGAAUACGUUCCCGGGCCUUGUACACACCGCCCGUCACACCAUGAGAGUCGGGAACACCCGAAGUCGGUAGUCUAACCGCAAGGAGGACGCCGCCGAAGGUGGGGUUGAUGAUUAGGGUUAAGUCGUAACAAGGUACC